UACGAAGGAUGCAAGCGUUAUCCGGAUUCAUUGGGUUUAAAGGGAGCGUAGGUGGCCUUAUAAGUCAGUGGUGAAAUCUCUCGGCUUAACCGAGAAAUUGCCAUUGAUACUGUAGGGCUUGAGUAUAGUUGCCGUUGGCGGAAUAUGACAUGUAGUGGUGAAAUACAUAGAGAUGUCAUAGAACACCGAUUGCGAAGGCAGCUGACGAAACUAUAACUGACACUGGAGGCUCGAAAGUGCGGGGAUCAAACAGG
rnacentral:rRNA from 1 species